CCUACGGGCGGCAGCAGUGGGGAAUUUUGCGCAAUGCUCGUAAGAGUGACGCAGCGACGCCGCGUGAGGGAUGAAGGUCUUCUGAUCGGAAACCUCUGUCAGCAGGGAAGAACGGUCACUGUGCUAAUCAGCAGUGAAUUGACGGUACCUGCAAAGGAAGCACAGGCUAACUCCGUGCCAGCAGCCGAGGUAAUACGGAGGGUGCGAGCGUUAAUCGGAAUUACUGGGCGUAAGGCGCUCGUAGGCGGUAUGUCAAGGCAAGGGUGAAAUCCCCGCGCUCAACGUGGGAACUGCCUUUGAAACUGGCAAACUGGAGUGUGUGAGAGGAUAGUGGAAUUCCCGGUGUAGGAGUGAAAUCCGUAGAUAUCUGGAGGAACUUCAGUGGCGAAGGCGACUAUCUGGAACAUAACUGACGCUGAGGAGCGAAAGCGUGGGUAGCAAACAGGAUUAGAUACCCUAGUAGUC
rnacentral:rRNA from 1 species